UACGGAAGGGGCGAGCGUUGUUCGGAAUCAUUGGGCGUAAAGGGCGCGUAGGUGGUUCUGUAUGUCUACCGUGAAAGCGUACGGCUCAACCGUAUUUUGUCGGUAGAAACUGCAGGACUUGAGGCUGGGAGGGGCUGGUGGAAUUCCCUGUGUAGCGGUGAAAUGCGUAGAUAUUGGGAAGAACACCGGUGGCGAAGGCGGCGAGCUGGUCCAUUACUGACGCUGAGGCGCGACAGCGUGGGGAGCAAACAGG
rnacentral:rRNA from 1 species